rnacentral:rRNA from 1 species
CCUACGGGGGGCAGCAGUGGGGAAUAUUGGACAAUGGGGGGAACCCUGAUCCAGCCAUGCCGCGUGUGUGAAGAAGGCCCUCGGGUUGUAAAGCACUUUCAGUGAGGAAGAACGCCUGGUGGUUAAUACCCAUCAGGAAAGACAUCACUCACAGAAGAAGCACCGGCUAACUCCGUGCCAGCAGCCGCGGUAAUACGGAGGGUGCGAGCGUUAAUCGGAAUUACUGGGCGUAAAGCGCGCGUAGGUGGCUUGAUAAGCCGGUUGUGAAAGCCCCGGGCUCAACCUGGGAACGGCAUCCGGAACUGUCAAGCUAGAGUGCAGGAGAGGAAGGUAGAAUUCUAGGUGUAGCGGUGAAAUGCGUAGAGAUCGGGAGGAAUACCAGUGGCGAAGGCGGCCUUCUGGACUGACACUGACACUGAGGUGCGAAAGCGUGGGUAGCAAACAGGAUUAGAUACCCUAGUAGUC